rnacentral:misc_RNA from 1 species
GGCAGAAUAAGGUAUACCCAUUUUUAUCCAACAAAGAAUUUUGCAAUGGAGGAAAUAUGAGCAUUAAAUUCAGAUUAAAUGAUUGAUGAGCACAUAUGUCUAAUAAAAUAAAAGAAGUUAUCUAUCUAUGUUGUACUUUGGUUUCAAUUUCUCAAAAUUGCAUAUUACCAUUGUGUAUUUCUUUAAGUGUCUGUUCACUACAAACUAAUUUAAUCUCUGAGGUAGAUGGAUAGAGCUAAUUAAUGGUGAGCAAACAAAGGUUUCAUAGAAGGGAGUCAAGCCCAAGUGUCAGAACAGUCCUGAUCAAAUUCAAGUACAUUUCCAACCAAAUAAAGUAAAAAAGAAAAAUUCAAGUUAUGAAUGGUUGCACCGAUCUAAAGCAUCUGUAUUAUAACAUAAAUUGCAGAUUGAAUGAUCACUGGCUGAGACUACUUGUACAGGGAGAAGAGGGA